rnacentral:lncRNA from 1 species
GCGAAGCUCGUCGGAACUUGCCAAGUGGAUCGUCGCAAAGUCCAGGAGUUUGCCGGAAGUCCGCAGGAGCAUCACCGAGGGUUCAUCGGAUGAUCGACGGAAGUUCGCCGGAAACUCGCCGGAAGGAGCGAUUGACGCACCGAAGCAAAGCUGCAGAAGUUGUCUUAGAUUUAAUCGUAGUUAGCACGUUGAUUAAGUUGGAUAAUGGGAGGUGAUCCCAUUGGCUU